CUGGCACUGAACAAUAGAAUGAGAGAUACCUUUAAAAAAGUUGAUGUACAGCCUGCAGUCUGGGAGUGUGUGUGCGUAAAAGACCAUUUACGUACGAUCAAAACAGGAUUUGGUUUACUUUUCACCGCUCCAGAAUUAAAAAAAAAAAAUAUUACGCUACAAAGAAUUGAAUGUAGAAGCUAUACUUUUCUAAAGAAUGGCAUUUUAAUCUGCAAAAAUAUACAAACGAACUAAAAUAAAAGCUCCCAUUUGAGGAAAAGUGGAUCAAUGCGGAACAGGCCUCUGAUCAUUCAGAUUAUCCCUAAAACAUCAAUAAUUCAAGCACACAAUAAGGCUUGGAAUCAAAGGCAAAAUAGAAACUUGCUUUUACCCCAAAGCAAGCAAUAUUCUCAUUUUUCCCUAGAAGAAAACAGUUCUUGUACUUUCAGCUGUAAAGUCGGAUAAGAUGAAGCCCCAGUGUUUCAUUUGUUUAGACGGUGUUUAGCGUGCAGUGCAGAUUUUGCAGUUCUGUCUCAAAGGUUGCAAAGUAGAAAAAAAAGUGGAUAUUUUUGGUGACCUCUUUAGUGGGACAAAGGAGGCUGCAGAUCGAUUCGUUACACCUUUUUAGUGAGGCUUCUGCUGAAGGGGAGGGGCUCUGAAGCCACAAGAGGCUCCAUUAAUAGCCUACACUCCAUCCUAACUAUUAUCCUCCGUAAAGUGUUUAUAAAGAGCACACAACUGGGCUAAUGUUAUCUCAAAUGAGGCAGCAUCAUAUAUCCGUUUACUGCAGAGAGGAUAAAGAGGAAGGAGAGAGGAGGAGGAAGUCUUAAAUUUGUUUUUUUUUCUUUAGUCUGAUAGAGGGUGCGGUGAUAAUCACAACACAACUUGGAUGAAAACAGCCACAGUUCAAACUCUGCGCUUUUCGUGCGUCUGCAGCCAGAACAUCGGACUUAUUAUUCAUCCACCGGCUCCUGUCUUAGCGAUGUGGGGGUUUGGACCGGAUCAUAGAAGAAACUGGAUUUAAAAAGGAGAAAAGUUUCUGCGUUUACUGAUUCUGGUCUGACAUGACCAUCUAAAGAGCUGCUGUCUGUAAGAUCUGGUGGAUCGUGUUGUAAAGAAGUCCAGCAGGUUGUCAAAUCAGACGGGGCGGAAAAAUAUAGCGCUAAGAAUCACCAAAUCCCUGACCUCUGCUCAACCCGGCGUCGUCUGCAACAUUAUCGGUGAAAAUAUCGUCUAACGAGGAGAGACGUGUCUGCAGAAGCAGCAGCACGCAGGACGACUGGCUCAGGGCAAGACAUCUGGAUCACAGCAGCUGUUGUCACCUACAAGCCACUUGCAAUCAUCUCGGAGAACAGUACAUCUCUUUGUUUUUGUGAUAAAAACGCACCGUAUGUAAGUUAAUAAAUACACUGUGUGAACAUA